GACGAACGCUGGCGGCGUGCUUAACACAUGCAAGUCGAACGGAAAGGCCCUGCUUUUGUGGGGUGCUCGAGUGGCGAACGGGUGAGUAACACGUGAGUAACCUGCCCUUGACUUUGGGAUAACUUCAGGAAACUGGGGCUAAUACCGGAUAGGAGCUACUGCUGCAUGGUGGGGGUUGGAAAGUUUCGGCGGUUGUGGAUGGACUCGCGGCUUAUCAGCUUGUUGGUGGGGUAGUGGCUUACCAAGGCUUUGACGGGUAGCCGGCCUGGGAGGGUGACCGGCCACAUUGGGACUGAGAUACGGCCCAGACGCCUACGGGAGGCAGAAGUGGGGAGCAUGGCACAAUGGGCGGAAGCCUGAUGCAGCAGCGCCGCGUGCGGGAUGACGGCCUUCGGGUUGUAAACCGCUUUCGCCUGUGACGAAGCGUGAGUGACGGUAAUGGGUAAAGAAGCACCGGCUAACUACGUG
rnacentral:rRNA from 1 species